AACGAACGCUGGCGGCAGGCUUAACACAUGCAAGUCGAACGCAUCCUUCGGGGUGAGUGGCAGACGGGUGAGUAACGCGUGGGAACGUGCCCUUCAGUUCGGGAUAACCCAGGGAAACUUGGGCUAAUACCGGAUACGUGCGAGAGCAGAAAGAUUUAUCGCUGAAGGGUCGGCCCGCGUCUGAUUAGCUAGUUGGUGGGGUUAUGGCCCACCAAGGCGAGGAUCAGUAGCUGGUCUGAGAGGAUGAUCAGCCACAUUGGGACUGAGACACGGCCCGAACUCCUACGGGAGGCAGCAGUGGGCAAUAUUGGGGAAUGGGCGGAAGCAUGAUCCAGCCAUGGCGCGUGAGGAAUGACGGCGUUCGGGUUGUAAACAUCUUGAAGCAGGGAAGAAGCGAAAGUGACGGUACCUGCAGAAAGCGCACCGGCUAACUACGUGCCAGCCUCCGCUGUAA
rnacentral:rRNA from 1 species